AGCUGCUCCUGACUCCAGUGGGAGGGACCCACAGAGUCCAGUCCCUGUGUGGGUGCUUAAACAGAGCUGAGUGGAAGGGGCAGAAAUCAGUGUCAUUAGUUGAAAGUGAGGCUGAGUGCUUCUUUCUAGUAUGUUCUUUAUACACCAGACCUCUGCCGAAUAAUGGAGUUCCAGAGCUGGAAGAGAUCCUCAGAUGUCAUGAAGUCAUCCACUGCCUCCCAGCAAGUUUCAUUUGGAUGGUCUGUUCAGAUUGUCUGUUCCCAGUUGUGGGCUGGGCAAGGAGCAUCCACAGGGUACUGAAGAACAAUAGGAAUGUUCCUAUGUUCAUCAUCAUACUGAUAAACGUGCUAAAAAACCAAGGUAAAUGGUUAUAUUUUUAGAAAUAUGAAAAAUAAUUACAGUAAUAUAUUUGACAUUUAAAAAAUAUUGUUAGGCUAAUGGAAGUGAGAAAGUGACUUAAGCUGCUGCUUCGGACAAAAAGUACCCUUUGACUGCUCAUCAUUCAGCCACUGGCUAAAUUUUUUGAAUGCCUUCCCUGAGUCUCCACAUUCCACUUCUGUCACUACAUUUAUUUAUUUCUAAUAUUGCACUCCAUGUUGAUUUUUGACCUUUGGACCUGAUGGCAUUUGCACCUUAGAAAAGGAGCAGAAAAACACAUAUUAAUAUUAAGAUGAUCAUUUCUUUUGUAAACAAGAAAUUUCUUGCAAAUAUUAAACCAAUGACUUUCACUUUUCCCCGUAUAAAUCGUGUUUCCUUUCAAUUGUUCAUUUUCUUGUCUGUGCC
rnacentral:lncRNA from 1 species